UUAAGCACUUAAACAGCCCCAGCUUCAUUCUUUCUCCUACACGUUCUUGUCGGCUUCUUUGGUAGAACUCUGGCUUGUUUUGUUAAUUUAAAAAGUAUUUUUCAGUUGAAAAUACAGACAUCAUUUUGAUAUCCAAACCAGGUCCCGGAGGCGAUCAAGAGUUACCCAAACGAGCCGAGCCUUCAGCCACCGAUAAAGUGAUUUUUGAUGGUGAAUCUUUCCAGUCUGUGCGAGUGGAUUUUGUGUGCAAGCAUGAGUGAAAGUCAGCAGCUGCAUAGAAAAAUGUCAUCGGCAGCCAAAAAAAGAAACUAUGUAACACGUUUUGAAAAUAAAAGUGAAAAAAGCUGCAUUUAAAAUAAGCCAAAACCUCACCACGGUAACACAAACAAGGGUUGCACCAAACUCCUUGUUUAAAACGCCUAGAAAUACAGGCCGGUCUGCACACUCCACUUCUAUUAGCAUCAAAUAUUUAUAUGUCUCCUCCGAAUGGAAAUGACUCUAAUCCUGACUUCAGGCUGCUGUCAAUCAAUCCUCCUCUCCUCUCCUCUCCUCUAUGCAUGCGCGUGCACGUGGUGCUGAAGGACAGCGACUGUGGCAUUGUCGGGGGCGCGCUUUCAGCAGGAGGACAGACGCUUGCCGGUCACGAGGAUAAAAACAAACCUGAUUCUCCGGGUCAACAUUUCUAUCACGCCGCUGCGGGAUUUUAAACAUAAAAAUAAUCAAUAAUGCGCGGCUUUUUGGCGGAGAAGCUGGACACGGCCCCUCCUCCCGCGACCCUCCUAUGCGAUGUUUAUUCCCCUCCUCCUCUCGACUCUUCCUCCUCCCCCUCCUCCUCCUCCUCCCCCUCCCAUCCUCUCACUGCCUCUGUGAUUCUGGGAAGAAAAGAAAAAAAAGGAACAGGAGUGGCUGAUGGCAUUUCCUACACCGGGGUGGGACCGCAGGAAAGAGGAAGAAACAGUGUGAGGACUGAGAUGGCUUUCAUGAUACGGCUACAUGUAGGGUUGUCUAUGUGUGUGUAUAUAUAUAUAUAUAUCACAACCCUAACAUGGUGUUGACCUGAUUGUUACAGUGAGGCCUUGUUCCAUUCAGCCCUCCGGCACAAACCACACAAGCAGUUUUAUAAUAGUUCUAAAUUGAGCUUUUUAAUGUCCAUAGCCUGUUAUGACAACGAAAACCCAACACGCUGGUUGAAGUUUUUUUUAACCGUUUUUUAAUAUACGUAAGGGGUCAUAUGUGGGCCAAGCGCAGUGUGUGAUGCUCGUAAGGACAGACAUGAAGUGUUUUAGUGGUAUAUGUGAAUGGGAAGACCGAGAUACAUGCUUCAAUAUUGUCUGAAAUCCUGUUGAAAACAAUAGUUGUAUAUUAUAACACAGACUGAUUUUUCAUCCUUAAUCAAACUCGUUUUGUCCUACAAUGUAUUUUGUUUUGCGUGGUGGGUUCCGGCACAUGUUCAGCAGGGUUUAUUGUUCCAUUAUUCCAAGUCUGUAUGCCUUGUGUGCAAAUAUUCACAGUGUUAAUGUGCAUGUUGGGAGAUACUAGAUGUGCAUAACGUCACGCAGCCAUUCUGCAAUACAGUCAGAGGAAUCAGCGCACGACUGUCCGGCUUCAGUAAACUUGUGGGAGGCAAAGCUCACUCGCCCCAUCUGUUGUUUCUCUCUCCACCAUCUUCUCACUGAGCAACGCUGUGCCAGGCCUCUGGUGGUCACCCAGCAGCAUUCUGGGAAGUGGAGUAGAUCCCACAGUGGACUGGAAAUAAACUUGCCAUCAAGCUCAGUGUC